UUUUUGUAUUUAAUAUAAAGUCUAAUCUGCCCCCUGAUAAUUUAUUAAAGGGCUGCAGUAUUUUGACUGUACAAAGGUAGCAUAAUCAUUUGUCUCUUAAUUGGUGACUAGUAUGAAAGAUUGGAUGAAAUAUAGACUGUCUCAUUAUAAUGAAUAAAAUUUAAUUUUUUAGUAAAAAAGCUAAAAUAGUUUUAAAAGACGAGAAGACCCUAUAGAGUUUAAUAAUUAUUUUUAUAUAGAAUAAAAUAUAAAAAUUUAAAUUUAAAUGAAAGUAAUUAUUUUGUUGGGGUGAUAGAAAAAUUAAAUUAACUUUUUUUAAAGAUAUACAUUAAUAAAUGAAUAAAUGAUCCAUUAAUAAUGAUUAUAAGAAAAAAUUACCUUAGGGAUAACAGCGUAAUUUUUUUUUUUAGGCCAAAUAAGAAAAAGAGUUUGCGACCCCGAUGUUGGAUUAAGAUAAAAUUUAAAUGUAAAAGUUUAAAAUUUUGAUCUGUUCGAUCAUUAAAA
rnacentral:rRNA from 1 species